rnacentral:rRNA from 1 species
AUUAGUGGCGAACGGCUGAGUAACGCGUAGGUGACCUACCCCGUAGUGUGGAAUAACUGCCCGAAAGGGUAGCUAAUACCGCAUGUUGAGCCGACAUCAAUGUCGUCUCCAAAGCAGAAAUGCGCUAUGGGCGGGGCCUGCGUUCGAUUAGCUAGUUGGUGGGGUAAUGGCUCACCAAGGCGACGAUCGAUAGGUGGUCUGAGAGGACGAUCACCCAGACUGGGACUGAGACACGGCCCAGACUCCUACGGGAGGCAGCAGUCGGGAAUUUUGCGCAAUGGGGGAAACCCUGACGCAGCAAUACCGCGUGUGGGAUGAAGGCCUUCGGGUCGUAAACCACUUUUUUCGGGGACGAUAAUGACGGUACCCGAAGAAUAAGCCACGGCUAACUACGUGCCAGCAGCCGCGGUAAUACGUAGGUGGCAAGCGUUG